rnacentral:snRNA from 1 species
AUCGCUUCUCGGCCUUUUGGCUAAGAUCAAGUGUAGUAUCUGUUCUUAGGGGGGUUUUCUGGGUGCCCCCCAUAUACAAGACAGUCUACCUUGAUCCUCU